rnacentral:lncRNA from 1 species
CCGCGAUGAAAUUUCAACCUGCCCAACACGAUUACUGGUCCACCUAGAAAUGCCGUGGAGCGAUUUAAGAGCCUCGGAAAUUUCCUUUAAGGUCAGGAGAGAAGCUGGUAACAGAUGGGGCGAAGGAGGAAAAGUUCUUUUUGCGGCACCCUCACGCCUUCCCAGCCCUUUCGCGGUUUACUCGCUCCCCGGAAAGCAGGGCAUUCAAGCAGCCCUGAGGAGAGGUCCACAUGGUGAGCCACUGAGGGCCUUGCCAAGAGCCAGCACCAACGGUCCAGGUUUGGAGUGUACCACCUUGGAAGUGAAUCUUCCAGUCCAGUCAAGCCUUCAGAUGACUUCAGAACCGUCCAUGUAAGCCACUCUUGGAUUCCUGACCCACAGAAACUGUUGGAGCUGCCAAUUUGCAGGAAAUAGAGGAGAGAAGCAUCUGUUGAACUGCACCAUGAGUAUACACUCAGCAAAGGCCAAACUGUGGAAAAUGAUACAGGUCAAACAGCCUGGAUUCUUUAACAGACGGAGUCUCACUCUGUCACCCAGCCUGAAGUGCAAUGGUACAAUCUCAGCUCACUGCAACCUCCGCCUCCCGGGCUCAAGCAAUUCUCCUGCCUCAGCCUCCUGAAUAGCUGGGAUUACAGGCACGCGCCACCACGCCCAGCUAAUUUUUGUAUUUUUAGUAGAGACGGGGUUUCACCAUGUUGCCCAGGCUGGUCUUGAACUCCUGACCUCAGGUGAUCCACCCACCUCAGCCUCCCAAAGUGCUGGGAUUACAGGCAUGAGCCACCGUGCCUGGCCUUUUGUAUCUGUUUUAUUUUUUAAAUAAUAAGAUUAAAAAUAAAUAUUCUGCAUGAUUAAACAAAUACAGAUUUAAAUUUUUACAGUCCAAUUGAGUGAUUUCCUCAUGUUCCAAAACCAGGAAGUAGGUGUGGGACAUCUAUCUCCGUAUUGCAUACACAGUCUGGAUUCUAGUUGUAGACUCCAUAUGGGCUGUCAUACACGCUACUACAGAAAUGAGAGAAAUCCUUGGGAAAUGGAACCAUCUCACACAUGAGAGACAUCUCUGACAACUUAUUCAUAACUGAAUACUUCUCAUUUAUCUUUACCAGUAAGUGAUGUUUCUGAAGCACCAAUGAAAAUGAAGUCCUGAAGUCCUGUGCUCAAUAUGAAAUGUUGGAAGUUAGAAGAAAAAAACAAAACUUGGAUCCAAUCUCAAGGCACUUUUUGUUUAAUGGGAAGAAGUGGAUUAUUUUAAAAGCUACAAAUAAAGUUACAUAAAAGUAGCAAA